UUAUAAAAUAAAUAAGUCUAUAAUUAUGUGUGAUCGUUUUUAAUUCUCAAAGCUCAGUAGACUUUUUUGGGUUUCCCAAAAGGGAAAUCUCUCUCCUAUAAGCAUGUAAGUUACUCAUCUUUAUCUAAAUUAUGUUUCUGUUUACCCCUGUUUAUUUUAAUUUUUUUUGUUAUUCUGUAUAGUUUUAUGUUUCAUAUUCAUAUGCUCGAUUAUUAGAUAUCACUCUUAGUAUAUGGUUAGAUUUCCAAUUUCUUAUCAAUUAUGAUGGAUUAACAUGUAAAUUCCUAGGAGAAACUGGUUAAGUAAAACCCGAAAACAAUUAAGAAGGGUAUAAGUGUUACCAUGACCGAUGUGAGGUUAAAGAAAUAAGAGUUAAGAAAGUGUUAAAAUCUUUAAAAGAUUGGGAAGAAGAGAUGAAAAGAGUUGAUUAAAAAAAAAAGAGUAGUAAAGGGGUAAUCUCAGUUUAUAAUUUAGAUAAUAUGGUAACUAUACAAGUCUAUAGAAUAAGAGAGAGAGAGUACCGAGUAGGAUUUUCACAACAUAAGAGUUUAAUCGCAAAAAAUAAUUUUAUUGUUAAUGUCCAAUAAUCGUAAUAAUUAUACAAAUCCAGAAAGCUUUGCUAGGAGCCUUACUCAAAGUUUGGAAGAAUUUAUAUUAGACAUAGAAAUCGGGUUUUAUUCGAUAGUAGAUUUGGCCGUACAUUUUAUAUAUCUACAAUACAAUAGUAGUAUUUAUUCAAAUUUAUAUAGAAACCAACUGCAUUUGAUAUUGUAUAUUAUCAUACCAUCAGUCAUAUCAUCUAUACCAUCUAAGAAGAUAGAUUUUAAUUUUUUUUAACUCCUUCUUUUAACUCUAUACCCCUCUUAUAUUGGUAUUAUAUAUAUAUCCAAAACCUCACCAAAAGAACCCUAAAAGAUUUCUUUCACGUUACUCGUGAAUCAAGAAAUGAAGCUAAUAGACAAGUGCCUAUCGAUCUGUUCCGUUUUAUUUGUACAUGUUUCUACCGUCAGCAAUUAAUUGGUUGACAAAUAUCAACUUCUUGUUGCCGCGUUUACACUAACUUUAUUCAAUUAUAAAUAACAAAGUACUAAACUUUAUUCAUUAUGAUCGUAAGGUCGUUAAAUUUUAUCAACUACAACUAUCCAUCAAGGUUUCUUUAAAAUAAGUAAAGAGUACUUUAUAAUUUUAUUGUUAUAGUGGAUAAAAUUCAGUUACUUUAAUGCGAUAAGAAAUAAUUUUGUAACGAUAUAUACCGUUCACAUGAUGAGUUAUCCAAACUCUAUCUCCUUCAACGGGUACCAAUUAACCAAACAUCAUUUUCUUGUUACCAUAUUUAUAGGGGACAUAACAAGAUUUGAUUGAUUUAUUUUUGUUUUGUUAUUUUGCAGAAGUUAUAAUCACGGGUCUGUUGGUUUUCCACAUAAAAAUUGUCCAUUCACUACUGCAUGGGGACUUUUUAUGGAAAUAUUCAUUCCUAGAAUAGCAUGAUUUGGACUUUAAUUUAGGACAAACAAAUAUACGUGUCCAAAUAGUAAAUCAAUGGAGUUGGAAAGCAAUCUUUGGUAAUUUCCUCAUUUAGUACUCCAUCAUUAUUUCGAACCCCAUCAGUAGCUAAUUGCUUAUGUAUAUGGUUAUUCAGUUAUAGAAAAUUGUUAAACAAAAAUAUUAUUUAUUUUGUAACAUAAAAGUCACUUUAAUUACUAAUGCUAUCUCAUCACACUAAAUAUACUCUUAGCCGAAAAAUAUUUUUUGGAGACAUUUAAUAAAGUGACAUACAAUGUUUUAAAAAAAUAAAAUAAAAUAGAAAAACGUAAAACUUGAUCAUUUUAAUUAUUAUAGGUGUAUACGGUCAUAAUCGGGCUUGCCCCUUUUUAUGAUUAAUCGAGGCCGGAGCCUAUGUCAUACCGGACCAAGACACGAAGUUAGAUGGCCAAGCUCGUGACUCAGGGACCGAUCGAGAUCGAGACCAGCCAAGAUCGAGACCGAGUGGGAUAGAGAUCGAGCAAGAUUGAGGGAAGCCUGCCGAGCCAAAUAACGAAAAGCCAAGAUAUCUGCGAUCGGGCGAGGAUCACAGCGGAAAUCUCGGCACGGAUCAAGAAGAGGCCGAUUAAUAAGCUAAUAAGAUAUUUCUUACCAUAUUUAGGAUUGUAUUAAGGGUAAGAUUCACCUACUAUAUAAAGGAGUCUGAUAAUUUGUAAAGAUCAUGAUAUUCACGUUACAUAAAGCAAUAUACUAUCUUCUUCUUAAGCUCUCAAUACUCUGCUGCUUUGUUCAUACUUUCCAGUAAAAUACUUGUUUGAUUCGAAAGCGAACUAGCUCGAGGAUCAAAGCUAUACAUCUCUUUUGGUUUGCUUUAUCUCUAUUUGCAGUUAAUUUCAACAACAAUAUUGCAUUUUUCUCAUUUUGUGCCAAGUAAAAUCACGUGUCCUUAAAACCACAGUAUAAAUUCAAUUGUUAUCCGUUUUUAGGGUAAACAGUUUGGCGCCUAAUGUGGGGCUAAGGAUAAUAAUGAUUGCCUGGUACAAAUUUUCGUAACACACACUAUUUCACAAUUGUUCUUUGAAGUAUCUUUGUUUACAGGCUUAAACAUAUCAAAAUCUCAUUCAGCACCUCAACACAUUGACAAUGAUCUCAGCC
rnacentral:lncRNA from 1 species